UGCCAUUAUGGUGAAUGGUAUUUUUUGGCGUGUAAGACUUGUGUUAAGAAGGUCAGAGAAGUGGAUAAUAAAUUUAACUGUUCUGGAUGUACAAAAACUCAUUCUUAUGCAGUUAAAAGGUUCAAGUUUGUGGUGAAUGUUGUUGAUCAUACCAGCAAUGCAUCUUUGUUAUUGUGGGAUAGGGAAGACAGCCAACUUUUAGGGAGAAGUGUGACAGAUUUUUUAGGAAAUGGUGGUCAGGUUGCUCCUAAGAAUUCCAUUCCUGCACUUAUUGAAGAGAUUCUUGUGGGUCAGAAUGUCCUAUUUAAACUUCAGUUGAAAAAUCAUAUUGAGUAUUACAGAAGUUACCCAUUUACUGUGAACAAAGUUUGUAAUCUCCCUGAAGUAGUUG